UGGGGCCAUAGUUCAAUUGGAAGAAUGCCUGCUUUGCACGUAGGAGGUUAGGAGUUCAAAUCUCCUUGGCUCCAA
rnacentral:tRNA from 1 species